CUCCUGUCCCCAGUCCUCCUCCCUGCAUGCUCCAGUGUCUGUUGGACUUACCUCACAGAAGAAAAGACGAAGGAGGACAGCAGACACAGUUGGGCUGUGUGGAGGUCUUGGUGCAGUGGCAUCCUUGCUCUGGAUGUGGAAUGAAGUGGAAAAACUCUUGGGAACCAAAGGCAAAUAUUCAGAUAUAAAACCCUAAAAUGACUGUUAUAGUUAAUUUCAUUGUUCUAUGUUUGGAU